rnacentral:misc_RNA from 1 species
CGCACCUUGCGCUCCUUGGUAUUCCGAGGAGCAUGCCUGUUUGAGUGUCUUGAAACUCUCGACCCUUUGAGCUUGUCUUGAGCUCAUUGGCGUUGGACUUGGAGGUUCUGUCGGUGUCUGACGUCGACUCCUCUGGAAUGCAUUAGUGGAGGCUUGUGCCCGACCCAGUAGCGGUGUAAUAACUAUUACCACUGCGAACGCGUCGAGGUCUUUGGCCAUUCUGCUUCUAACCGUCCGCAAGGACAGCUCUUCACUCUUUGACCUCAAAUCAGGUAGGACUACCCGCUGAACUUAA